AGAGUUUGAUCCUGGCUCAGGAUGAACGCUGGCGGUCUGCUUAACACAUGCAAGUCGAACGGAAUCUUUCGGGAUUUAGUGGCGGACGGGUGAGUAACGCGUGAGAAUCUGCCUUCAGGUUCGGGACAACAGUUGGAAACGGCUGCUAAUACCGGAUGUGCCGAGAGGUGAAAGCUUAAGUGCCUGGAGAUGAGCUCGCGUCUGAUUAGCUAGUAGGAGUGGUAACGGCACCCCUAGGCGACGAUCAGUAGCUGGUCUGAGAGGAUGAUCAGCCACACUGGGACUGAGACACGGCCCAGACUCCUACGGGAGGCAGCAGUGGGGAAUUUUCCGCAAUGGGCGCAAGCCUGACGGAGCAAGACCGCGUGAGGGAAGAAGGUCUGUGGAUUGUAAACCUCUUUUGAUCGGGAAGAAGACAGUGACGGUACCGAUCGAAUCAG
rnacentral:rRNA from 1 species